rnacentral:rRNA from 1 species
AUAUCAGUCAUGCAUAGCAUAUCAAUAAGCGGAGGAAAAGAAACUAACAAGGAUUCCCUUAGUAACGGCGAGUGAAGCGGGAAGAGCUCAAGUUUGAAAUCUUCAAGGUUUUACCUUGACGAAUUGUAGUUUAAAGAAGUGUUUUCUGUUGAAGUUUUGGUAAAAGUUCUUUGGAAUAGGACAUCAUAGAGGGUGAGAAUCCCGUAUUUGACCAUUACUUUCAGCUUUGUGAUACACUUUCAAAGAGUCGGAUUGUUUGGGAAUGCAGUCCAAAAUGGGUGGUAAAUUUCAUCUAAAGCUAAAUAUUGGCGAGAGACCGAUAGCGAACAAGUACCGUGAGGGAAAGAUGAAAAGAACUUUGAAAAGAGAGUUAAACAGUACGUGAAAUUGUCAAAAGGGAAGCGUUUGACACCAGUGUUGUUUUCUCGAAAAUCAAUUAAAAAGAGUUGGAUUUUGUGUUGUAUUGACUUUAUCAGGCUUUCUUCACUCUUUUCCAGCUUUUUUUAAUGCACUUUUCGUUUAACAAGUCAACAUCAGUUUCUUUUGUUGUAAAAAGGUCAUUGGAAGGUGGCUUUCUCUUCGGAGAAAGUGUUUAUAGCCUUUGACUCAUGCAAUCGGAGAGACUGAGGUCUGCAGCGUAGAUCCUUCGGGGUUAGAUACAUUUGUGCUAAGUUAUAGCUUUUCAUAGACAACUUGUUGACUAUGUUUAGUCUUGUAGCUUACUCGCUUAUGCUAUUUUACCUACGCUUAGGAUGUUGAACUCUAUCACACACAG